UACGUAGGGUGCAAGCGUUAAUCGGAAUUACUGGGCGUAAAGCGUGCGCAGGCGGUCUUUUAAGACAGAUGUGAAAUCCCCGGGCUUAACCUGGGAACCGCAUUUGUGACUGAAAGGCUAGAGUACGGCAGAGGGGGAUGGAAUUCCGCGUGUAGCAGUGAAAUGCGUAGAUAUGCGGAGGAACACCGAUGGCGAAGGCAAUCCCCUGGGCCUGUACUGACGCUCAUGCACGAAAGCGUGGGGAGCAAACAGG
rnacentral:rRNA from 1 species